GAUGAACGCUGGCGGCGUGCCUAAUACAUGCAAGUCGAGCGAACGGACGAGAAGCUUGCUUCUCUGAUGUUAGCGGCGGACGGGUGAGUAACACGUGGAUAACCUACCUAUAAGACUGGGAUAACUUCGGGAAACCGGAGCUAAUACCGGAUAAUAUUUUGAACCGCAUGGUUCAAAAGUGAAAGACGGUCUUGCUGUCACUUAUAGAUGGAUCCGCGCUGCAUUAGCUAGUUGGUAAGGUAACGGCUUACCAAGGCAACGAUGCAUAGCCGACCUGAGAGGGUGAUCGGCCACACUGGAACUGAGACACGGUCCAGACUCCUACGGGAGGCAGCAGUAGGGAAUCUUCCGCAAUGGGCGAAAGCCUGACGGAUCAACGCCGCGUGAGUGAUGAAGGUCUUCGGAUCGUAAAACUCUGUUAUUAGGGAAGAACAUAUGUGUAAGUAACUGUGCACAUCUUGACGGUACCUAAUCAGAAAGCCACGGCUAACUACGUG
rnacentral:rRNA from 1 species